AUUCACCCCGAUUCUGCCAGUGGCUUGCGGUUAUCAAAAAUAAUGCAGUGACCAAAGAUUAACAGAGUGAUUUUCAGGCUGAACUGAUGGGGAAUCCAUUUUGACGAAAGCUGAGAAGUGAUGCGAUACCAUUGAUUUUUUCUUUCUUUUUUUUCACAACAAAACUGAAGAUUCUCAAUUAGAGGUAACCUAACGUUAGCGAGCUUGCUAGCCUAGCUGGACUAUCUGGGUGGUACAUAAUCUGAUUUCACCAACAUGCGCUUCCAACCCCUAGCUCUGCACAAGGUGAAGGAAAGUUGGCCUAAAUAUUUACAAGUUGAUGGCUAAGACUUCUCAUUUUACAGUUAUCUUGAGUCAUUCCACAGUGCCCUGCUGAAAAAUACCCCAAAGCAGGGGCAUUUUGGCUACACAAGCAUGAGGGAGUGGACACACCUUGCAGUUAUGGAGCGCAACAAGAUUGUGGGACAGAAACCUGCAAGGGACACUGAAAGGAGACAUGCAGUACCAGCAAAUCGUCUGCAAGAGGACCAAAAAUUUGGUGGUUACGAAGCCCUACACCACUUUCGGAAGAAUCUUAUCCAGCUGGCCGUUCACCACAGACAGGACAAGCCCAUCGCCAUAAGCACAAGAAGUCUCAGCUUCUCAUGCACACCAUGCCGAACACCAUUGCCAGUAUACCGAAGCCGGAUAAAGGACUAUGCUGCGUUUACCAGGGGAGAAUGACUGCUCACUCGCCUUGAGGAUUUCAAGUUCAAGGUUGACAGCGGUACUGCAGGCAAUUGUUUCCAGAAAACAGGAUCCCCUAUUAUAGUCAAUGGGAGUAUGGCGAUCUUCGUGGUCAAUAUUCCUGGAUAAAAUGUUUUUUAUUUCUAACACAAUCGUGUAUGAAUAUUUGCUUCUAUUUCACCAGAUGUAUGUCCUUCAACCAAUUACUUUAAAAUCGCACACUGAAAAAGUUAUGAGGAUAAUAUUUUAGCUACCAGCAGCUAGUUUUGACGUCACAAUCCUGUGUAGAGAAGAAGAGCGAGAACCUUAUAUGGUCAUUGAACUCCGCGGGAAAGAUGUUCCAGUCUCCUUCUUCCUUACAGGCUGAUAGUUUUUAUAUCAGAGCUAUUUUUAUGAUCGCGCCACUUUCCAGUGUUUGUUCUUCGGGUAUGGGAUACAGUUUUGAUAGCAAGGGCAAACAUGCCUUGUUCAUGAUUUAACUGCACUAAUCGCUAUUCCAAGGAGGAUCAUUUGUUUGGUAAGUCUAUCAUCUAAUUAAAUUAAGAUUUUCACUUUCAUAUUUUUGUAUCAACUAGGGCUAGGCUUAUGCUAGUAGAGGGUUAGCUAACAGAUAGCUUAGCUUCUAAUGCUAGCUUUUGCAUGAAUGUUCCAAUUUUAUGUUCAAUAAUGAGUGACAUCAGAAUCAUCGUACAGUACGUUUGCUAGUAGCAAGUAUGUUCAUGAGUCAUGAAUACAGGUUUGUCACAGAGGUCUGACAUUUUUUAUUACAUUUUUAUUUAACCUUUAUUUAACUAGGCAAGUCAUUAGCUAGAUAAUGGUAGCUAGCUAGCUAGCUAAUAUCAACUCCAACAUGCACCUGCCUGU